UACGUAGGGCGCAAGCGUUGUCCGGAAUUAUUGGGCGUAAAGGGCGCGUAGGCGGCAUGGCAAGUGGAUGGUGAAAUCCCUCGGCUUAACCGAGGAACUGCCGUCCAAACUGCUUCGCUUGAGACCGGGAGAGGUGAGUGGAAUUCCCAGUGUAGCGGUGAAAUGCGUAGAUAUUGGGAGGAACACCAGUGGCGAAGGCGGCUCACUGGACCGGUACUGACGCUGAAGCGCGAAAGCGUGGGGAGCAAACGGG
rnacentral:rRNA from 1 species